GUCCACGCCCUAAACUAUGUCAACUGGUUGUCGGGGAUUAACUCCCUUGGUAACGAAGCUAACGCGUGAAGUUGACCGCCUGGGGAGUACGGCCGCAAGGUUAAAACUCAAAGGAAUUGACGGGGACCCGCACAAGCGGUGGAUUAUGUGGAUUAAUUCGAUGCAACGCGAAAAACCUUACCUACCCUUGACAUGUACGGAAUCCUCCAGAGAUGGAGGGGUGCCCGAAAGGGAACCGUAACACAGGUGCUGCAUGGCUGUCGU
rnacentral:rRNA from 1 species